UGUUUUCGAGGUGGGAACGGCUUCCCCACGCGCCAUUUGCAAGAAUGGUCAGUAGUCGAAAGACCAAGAGAUGCGGACGUUAGCGCCCGCCGAAAACA
rnacentral:ncRNA from 1 species